AACAAACGCUGGCGGCGUGCCUAAUACAUGCAAGUCGAACGAGGAAAGCUUUCGGGUGAGUACUAGUGGCGCACGGGUGAGGAAUAUAUGGGUAAUCUGCCCUCGAGUUGGGGAUAACCAGUCGAAAGACUGGCUAAUACCGAAUAAGACCACCGGAUCUGCGGAUCUAGGGGUUAAAGGUUUUUCGCUUGAGGAUGAGCCCAUACGGGAUUAGCUAGUUGGCGAGGUAAUGGCUCACCAAGGCUACGAUCCCUAACUGGUCUUAGAGGAUGUUCAGUCACACUGGAACUGAGACACGGUCCAGACUCCUACGGGAGGCAGCAGUAGGGAAUAUUGCACAAUGGGGGAAACCCUGAUGCAGCGACGCCGCGUGAGUGAUGAAGGCCUUCGGGUCGUAAAGCUCUGUCGUAUGGGACUAACACAAUGAAGGUACCAUGCAAGAAAGGAUCGGCUAACUUCGUGCCAGCAGCCGCGGUAA
rnacentral:rRNA from 1 species